ensembl:lincRNA
UUCAGCCCCUGGGGGUGGCUAUGUCACCCCAGCCCCACUCUGCAUGCAGGCUGGUGGAGAUGACCCAGAAGCUGGCCAUGCUUCAAGAGGAGCCUGUGAUCAUCAAGCCGAUGCCAGACCGGCCAGGAGUGCAGAACGCGCCCCGCAGAGAUCCCUUGAGCCAGAACAGCUCCUUUGGCCCGUCCCCUGUGAGCCACAAUGAGUGCUCCCUGCCUGGGUGCUCCCGGCCCCCAGGCGCAGAGCCCCCCGGACAGCCCCCUUCUGCGAGCCUGAACUUCGCACGCGGCAACAUCCCAAGAGCCGACUUCGAUCCCGGCCCUGGCCCUGGCCCCGUGGCCAACAGCAGCUCCCGCGGCUCCUCCCCAGCGAAGGACAUGGACGACGGCAAGGUGAGCAUGGCCGCGAAGGGGCCCCCAGCCUAUCCAGGGCCCCCGUUCCUGGGAGGCCCCAUGCCGCCCCUCGUGGGCUAUGGGCCGUCGCCGCCACCACCACUCUGCAGGCCCUUCAGGCCUCGGCCGAUGCCUCCUAGGCCACCGCCACCAUUCGUCCCUUGCAUGGGCCCACCACUGGGCUUAAGAGAGUACGCGCCUGGCAUCCUGCCCAGACGCCGCGACCUGCCGCUGCACCCCCGCGAGUUCUUGCCAGGACCUGUGCCAUUCAGGCCUCCAGGCCCGCUGGGCCCCCGAGAGUAUUUCAUUCCUGCUCCUCGAAUGCCACCACCACCCUCUGGGCCCCAGGACUACACACCGCCGCCUGCCACAGAGGAGCCCCAGCUCUCAGGGCCCAGAGAGGCCCCAGCCUCGUCGACAAGCAGCCAGGAACCUGCCCAGGCUCUGAGGCAGAGCCCUUAAUGGCCCCACUACUCAGAGGGCCAAGGUUUUUAUUGGCUUUGGAGUUCAUUUUAAAAGGAAGUUCAUUUUAAAAGGUUUUUAGUACUAAGCUCCCUUGAGCAGUGCACAUUUUUGAGCCAAACAAUUCAGAAGACUCAUCUUCCUCUCUAAAAAUUGCCUCUUAAGCUCGAGUGACCUUCCAACUGAAAUGUGCAAUAACGAUCCCUGUGUUUUAGUUAAUAUAGCAUAGGUCAGUGUAAAAUGAUUCAGAAUGUCAUCAAAAUGACUAUUUCCUGUGGAAAUGCUCUAAGAAACGUAUUUCCGUGACCGAUGUUUUACUGUAUCAGCUGAAUACAGAGUAGUGGUAUUUAUAAGCUUUACCCCUCCUGCCCCAUCCUGGUUGAAAAGACUGUUACUUAAAGAUAAAAGAUGUUUAUUCAAAGAUCACCCCUUAUCCCCUCCCGCUCUGCUGAUGUCCUUUGUAGUAAUAGCUAAUAAAAACUUGUUUGUUAAUACUCCCAGCCUCCACUGGCUCAUUGCUUGCUGUGAGAGCUGUUGGAACUCUGGCUCCCUGGACUGGAGGUGCCGCGCUUGCAGGCUGCGUCACUCCGGGGGAAGCCCGUGACCCCUGACCCCACCGGUGACUGCUGGGCGCAAGAGUGAGAAUUUACAGUAGAAACAACGAUCGUUUGACCUCAGGCUCUAUUAUUUUCCUUUUACUGUGAUUGCAUUAAGGAAUAUAACAAAGUUGUGUCAUGAUUGUAAAAGUAAAUUUCUUUAUAAAAUGCGUGUCUUCUCUUUCUCAUAUCCUACAACUGACUUUCAAGGAACAGG